UUGAUUCAAAACUUUAGAGUCUUCGAGUUUGAAAUUUCAAGAAACAGGUUUUUUUUAUAUUUAGUUCACAUAUAUGCAAACCUUUUGAAAAGUUUUUUAAAUUGGUGUUGUAUCUUGUUAUAAGUUAAAUACUUCAAUGUAAGUCUAUAUAGAAGAUUAAAGGGUGCAGUUAUUUGUACUUGUUUUUUAGCAUUAAUUUUUAAAUGAAACAGUACAACAUCACAAUUCUUUGCAAGAGAAGCAAGUCUUGAUAAUAAAGUGCAAAAGGUUGCGGAAUUUAAAAAAGACUUACCAAGAAGCAUUACUGGAAUUUAUUGUUAUGAUGAACUGUCAUCAAGUUUUAAGCCUAUGGGUGGAACAUAAACAUUAGUGUCGCAUGCAUCAAAGUUCGAUUUGGUCGAUAAGUAGAAGAUCAUUUGAAGAGAGCUCUUAAUAGAGUAGCAUAACAAUUAUUUUAUUACAUUUUUGUAUGUUUAUAUUGUAAAUGUUUGAUUUUUUAUUUUGGUAUGCUUAUAUUAUAA